AUUGAACGCUGGCGGCAGGCCUAACACAUGCAAGUCGAACGAGUGGCGGACGGGUGAGUAAUGUCUGGGAAACUGCCUGAUGGAGGGGGAUAACUACUGGAAACGGUAGCUAAUACCGCAUACCAUCAGAUGUGCCCAGAUGGGAUUAGCUUGUUGGUGGGGUAACGGCGCACCAAGGCGACGCUCCCUAGCUGGUCUGAGAGGAUGACCGGCAAAACGGGAACGGAGACACGGUCAAGACUCCUAGGGGAGGCAGCAGUGGGGAAUAUUGCACAAUGGGCGCAAGCCGGAUGCAGCCAUGCCGCGGGUAUGAAGAAGGCCUUCGGGUUGUAAAGUACUUUCAGCGGGGAGGCGUGACCCGCAGAAGAAGCACCGGCUAACUCCGUGCCAGCAGCCGCGGUAAUUC
rnacentral:rRNA from 1 species